GCUGCCAAGAUGGUACCACAUUACCUGCGGACA
rnacentral:tRNA from 1 species